GCCUCGGUAGCUCAGUCGGUAGAGCAAUGGACUGAAAAUCCAUGUGUCGACAGUUCGAUUCUGUCCUGAGGCACCA
rnacentral:tRNA from 1 species